rnacentral:rRNA from 1 species
AUGGGCAGCGGCGAGUCACGGCUGCUCACCGCGUGCGCGUGCUCGCGGCCGGCGCCGGCGUCCGUCGACGCGGAGCCCUGCCUGGACGACGCGCUCGGCCACUCCUUCUGCUACGCCUCCGCCGCCGCCUACUCCUCCUCCUUCCGCCACGGCAUCUCCGGCGCCGCGCUCUCCGCCAACUCCUCCGUGCCCGUGCCGCUCUACCUCUCCUCCUCCGCCGCCGGCGCGGGCUCCGUGCCGCAGAACUACUCCUCCGCGUUCCACACAUCCUCCUCCUUCUCCUCCGCGCCGCUGCAGCUCUCCAACCUCUCCUCGGGGCCCCUGUUCCUCUCCGGGCCCAUCGACCGCGGCGCCCAGCUCUCCGGUCCGCUCGACGCCGCCGUGCCCUUCUCCGGCCCGCUCCCCACCAAGCCCACCAAGCGCACCUCCUCCUCGUCCAGAGGGCUCUCCAGCAGGUUCCGGAAGCCGUUAUUCGGCAGCCUGCGGCGGAGCGUGUCGGAGAAGCACCAGCCGGCGCUCAUGGUGCCACUCCGCCGAGACGACGGCGUGCAAUGGGCGCACGGGCGCGCAGGGGAGGACCGCGUCCACGUGGUUGUCUCCGAGGACCAGCGUUGGCUGUUCGUCGGCAUUUACGAUGGCUUCAACGGCCCUGAGGCCCCCGACUUCCUUGUUGCCAACCUCUACCGCUUCCUCCUACGCGAGCUUCGUGGGAUAUUCUACGAAGAGGCAGACAGGGAUAGCAAGCGGCUGUGGCAGUUCCUCGCCGACGGUGAUGACGAUGACAACGAACUCGACUUUUCAGGUUCCGGCAGGUUUGCAAUGUCGCUUGCCAGGCUCAAGGAGCGGCGGUUCAACAUGUGGGCACAUGCAGCGGCUGUGGGUGAUGAUGAAAUCAGCAGGGAGUGGGGUCCCAAGAAGUUGGAGGCAGCGCCAGCAGUGAGGGAUCAUGGAGCUGUGCUUGGUGCGCUCACUCGGGCGCUGGCCUCGACGGAGGCAGCAUACCUCGACAUGACUGACCAAUCAAUGGGAUCCCACCCAGAGUUGGCGGUGACCGGGGCAUGCCUGCUUGUGGCAUUGGUGAGGGAUGACGACGUGUAUGUAAUGAAUCUUGGGGACAGCCGCGCCAUUGUGGCGCAACGAGCAGAUGAUGACCAUGGUUGCGGGCUUGGAGCCAUGAGGAUGGAUGAUAUUGGCGUGGGAUUGGAGAUCGAGUCAAGGCCUGUCGGAUAUCCCAUGAUUGGGCUUGAGGCACUGCAGCUAUCUAUCGAUCAUAGCACCAGCAUCGAAGAGGAAGUGCAGAGAAUCAAACGUGAACAUCCAGAUGAUGAUCAGUGUAUCGUAAAUGACAGAGUAAAGGGCCGUUUAAAAGUUACCCGAGCAUUUGGCGCUGGGUAUCUCAAGCAGGCGAAGUUGAACAAUGGAUUGCUCGAGAUGUUCCGCAAUGAGUACAUAGGUGAUGCACCAUACAUAUCAUGCAUACCUUCUCUUUGCCAUCACAAGCUCACUUCAAGGGACCAGUUUUUGGUACUUUCUUCCGAUGGCUUAUAUCAGUACCUGAGCAACGAGGAGGUCGUUCUGCAUGUUGAGAAUUUCAUGGAGAGAUUUCCUGAAGGCGAUCCAGCACAGAGUCUAAUUGAGGAACUUCUUUCCCGUGCAGCAAAGAAAGCUGGUAUGGAUUUCUACGAGCUACUAGAUAUACCUCAAGGGGACCGGAGGAAAUACCACGACGACGUCACCGUCAUGGUUGUUUCCCUGGAAGGUAGAAUAUGGAAAUCGUCUGGAACUUAUGUGUGA